GCACGAAGUUAGCCGGAGCUUAUUCUCCAGGUACCGUCAUCAUCGUCCCUGGUAAAAGUGCUUUACAACCCUAAGGCCUUCAUCACACACGCGGCAUGGCUGGAUCAGGCUUUCGCCCAUUGUCCAAUAUUCCCCA
rnacentral:rRNA from 1 species